rnacentral:rRNA from 1 species
GGUGUAGGCGGAGCGGUAAGUACUUUGUGAAAGCCCCGGGCCUCAACUCGGGAAUUGCUGGGUAUACUGCCGUUCUUGAGGCAGGUAGGGGUGACUGGAACCUUAGGUGGAGCGGUGAAAUGCAUAGAUAUCUAAGGGAACGCCUGUGGCGAAAGCGGGUCACUGGGCCUGUCCUGACGCUGAGACCCGAAAGCGUAGGUAGCGAACG